UAGAGACCUGAACCUGUUUUGCUUCACCUGAAUCAAAGCUGCUGUGCUUAGUUUCCGAACCCAUCCUUCUAGUACAAUGUGCUGAACAGGGUGUAGGCAAAUGAGAAGAGAUGCCUUAGAUCUGAGGCUUUUUAUUUCUGAUAUAUAUUUUUUUACCUCAGAAUUCCUUUUUACCUCACAGAAAUCAUGUUUUUAAUGGAAAUUAAGGAUUAAAGAAAACCCUUUCAUCUUCUGUCUUCUUCCUAUGGAAGGAUGGCUAAUAAUUGCCUGAAUGAAUGACCUCCUGUUUCAUCAGCAUACCUCUGUGGUUCCAUGUUAAUUACAAUUAUCAAGUCCCCUAGCCAUGCAGGGCCCAGCAUCAGUAGAAAUUCAAGAACAGGAAGCAUGGAGAUCUGAAUUUCAGUGCAGCUUUCAGGGUGACCUCUGCUGAGAUAAAAGGACUAAAACCACUGUGAAUUUUCCUGUUCCUGAAGCAACAUCUUCAGCAAUGAUGGGCAGGCAAUUCAAUGCUCUGAAAGCAAUUGCAUACGCCUGAAAAUAAUCCAAAAUAGUCCUGAUCAGGCCUGGAAGAAUUCUUAGUUUACUCUGUCCUUCCUCUAUUGCUUAUGAAUCAGAGCAUCAAUGUUAAAUUGUAAAAUGCAGUAAUAUAUGUAAUGACCGUAUUAGUUUUACAGCCUGAGAAAAGGUGUCUUAUUUUUUCCUUGAGGAAUUAAAGGAGUAUUGUAAUGUGUUUACAUUCCCGGUCAGCUGUUCAGUGGGGGCUCUUCCAGAAGAGCUUGAAUUUGGGGCUCUGUUUCUUCACUGCCUUGCUUAGUGUCAUUUAAACAUGCAAAGUAGUUUAAAGUGCUGCCAAUAGUGAGGGCUGGUUUUAAGCUUCUGUUAUGAGAAGCAGAAGGAGAAGGUUGUAAGCAAAAUUAGACUGUUUCGCAAUCCACGGGAUAAUCCAUGUGCUUUGAAAUGAGUGUGCUGUGUGUCUCUGUUUAUCAGCAAGGGAUUCUGUAGGAGAGUUUUCAUGGAAACGAGCAUGAGUACUAUUAGGGAAUGGUCCUGGAAUAAGAAACAGGUUGAUAAAAUAAUGAAUGUUUUCCAUAAUAGUUCUUUUUAAUAAGAUGCCUAACAAGGGA